rnacentral:rRNA from 1 species
AGUGAACGCUGGCGGUAGGCCUAACACAUGCAAGUUGAACGGCAGCACAGUAAGAGCUUGCCCUUACGGGUGGCGAGUGGCGGACGGGUGAGGAAUACAUCGGAAUCUACUUUUUCGUGGGGGAUAACGUAGGGAAACUUACGCUAAUACCGCAUACGACCUACGGGUGAAAGCAGGGGAUCUUCGGACCUUGCGCGAUUGAAUGAGCCGAUGUCGGAUUAGCUAGUUGGCGGGGUAAAGGCCCACCAAGGCGACGAUCCGUAGCUGGUCUGAGAGGAUGAUCAGCCACACUGGAACUGAGACACGGUCCAGACUCCUACGGGAGGCAGCAGUGGGGAAUAUUGGACAAAGGGCGCAAGCCUGAUCCAGCCAUACCGCGUGGGUGAAGAAGGCCUUCGGGUUGUAAAGCCCUUUUGUUGGGAAAGAAAAGCAGCAGGUUAAUACCCCGCUGUUCUGACGGUACCCAAAGAAUAAGCACCGGCUAACUUCGUG